UAGCAGUAAUUGCGUGAUUGAAACUGCUCAAAUGCCUACAGUGAAAAAGUGAUAAAGUUUGCAUAAAGCAACGCCAAAAUACAUGAAUAAAAUGAUUUAAAAUAUUUUUAAUGCGAUUACCUUCAAAUAACGUUUCUUCUUGGACAAUAUAACCGACUGCCGAAACCGUGAAAUAAUUCAUCAAUAAAGAAUCAUAAAUGAAGCUGGAAAGGCUACCAACGUGCCAACGCACGACGACAGCAACGAACGGAAAU